AGAUAAAUAAACUGAAUUGAUUAAACUCAAUUUACAGUUAUUGAUGAACUACAGUAGAUUUGGAAAGAUAUUUCAACUUAGAAAAAAUCCCACAGAUUUCCCCUCUGCCACUCCCCACCCUUCCCCAGACUCCACUCUCAGUGCCAACGUAGCAAUUUUACUUCUAGAAUUCAUUGAUGGAGAAAAUUCUAUGCACAGAUUCAGAAAUCCGUUGCUGAGACACAAAUGCCACCACACACCCCUCCUCUCCCUGCCCACAGUCCGGUGUGAAGCACACAUCCUGGGAACUGCUGGAAUCAUUUAAGGAGCCCAUUUUAAGGAGAGAUCAAUAGAAGAUAAUAAAUUAAGUUUUCCAAAGUAUCUUGAACUACAUUGAGGAAAUAUCUGGAAACGUGUAGAAGCAGGUGAACAGUAUGUGUGAUGACAGGAUAAAUUAUUACAGGAACAGAAAGUUAUAAGAGUGAUAGAAGAAAUUGACCUGGGCUUUGCCAGCUGCUGACAAUUCUCCAGAACUACCAGGAGAACUGACUUACACACUCUUCUGGGUCUCCCAUUGCAAGGAGAUGGGCUUUCUGGAACACUGUUGAGCUGAAGGCACCUGAGUGUUGUUACAUUUGCCACAAGAACUAGGAGAACUCAAAGUCUGUAGUGUAUCAAGAAAAGAUAUAUUUGACUGAUAACCAAGAAGUUACGUAACUUACGAAAGAAAUAGAGCCAGAGGCUCACUGCAACACUGUCAUCAAGGUCUACUCAGGAGAGACCUGGUCCAGUAGACCCCUUGAAAUGAUGCAGCAGAUGAGGAGCUUCUGAGAACGACUCUGAACUUCAGGGAGUAUUUGUAUGAAAGGGUUCCAUGAUGCAUGAUUGACCAGGAAAAUAUCUUACAUAAAGCACUCUGAUAUCCAAGUGCACUACUUGCAUUCUUUUAUGAAGUAAAAACACUUUUCUGAACACUCGAAUGUAAUAUAAUUAUUCUCUUUCAUUUAUUUGAAUGGUAAAUGACAGUAUCUAAAAAUCAUAAAAUAGCAGCCCCCUUCUUUUAUGUACAUUUCUGUCUAAAUGAAAUCUGCCGUACUUCAAGGCCUAUGCUGAGUGUCAUAUUCUUGUUCUGGUUCAGUCUGUAACCCAUACUGCAUGCUUUGACGCUGAGAAUCUGAAAGCACUCAUUUUUUUUUCAAUUUCAAUUCUAUUUUAUGUACUCAAAAAUAUAUUUUCUAGAAGAAAAGAGGAAGAACAUCAAAGAUUUUUUUUAUUUGUGCUUUUCACUUGUUAUUUGAUUUUUCAUAAGUAAGCUUCAAAAGAGUUUGUUUUCCUGUUGAAAAUCUAUGAGUUUUCACCGUAAACGGUAAACAGGGGUAGAACAUACAAAGUAACCUAGCAACAAUCCGAAUUCCAUCCACAUUCCUGGCCUAUCCUCUGGUUCUACAGGAAAGAGCCAUUCAACCCAGGAACAGACAAGAAAGAGAGCUGAAACCUUUGUGACAAUGCUGGAAAAUUAGCAAUGAGUGAAGUAUUAUACAACAACACGGUUUUGCUUUUUAGAAGCUCCUGGUUUUUUAAAGUUUGGUAGACAAGGUGACAACAAAAUGACUGUGGGCUCUGGCAACAUGGAAGUCUUUGGGGACAUUGACAAGAGUUACUUCAGAGACGUGGUGGGGACAAAAGCCUGAUGGGAGCGCAUUCAAGGGAGACUGGAAGGAAGAGGAAGUCCUUUUCCUUGCUUCCUAUAUGGAGGCAGAUAAUGUUUUUUAAAACAAACACAUGCCUACUUUAUAGGACUGCUUUAAUGUCAUCUACUGAAUAAUUUUAUAUUCAUGAAGUACUUUGAGCUCCUCAGGAAAUCUUUUUAAAAAAUGAAUAAAGAAAGAACUAGCUAUUUCUUUAACUCAUUCCAAGACUGAGUGAAACUUUUCAUUGUGAUUGAGGAAUAAGCAUUAAACAAAUAAUCUCAGAUUGAGACGUGUCACGAUGAUAGCUUUAUGUCUCUCUUUCACCGAUAAAUUCCAUGGAAACUUUGUAGGACCUUCAUGUUCUCAAAAGCCAGGCCAAAAUAUACACCCAGGAUGGAAUCUUUCUAAGGUCCCCAGAGGGCAAGAGCUAUGUCUGCUUAAUCUGAAUCUAUAGUACCUAAAAUAAUGUCACUUGAUUGCAAAUAAAGAUGAUGACGACAAUGAUCACCCAGCAGCUGCUUCUCAGAAAAGGCUCAAGAAAAAUCCAUCCCACAAGCUUAAAACACAGUUGCACUGAGGCAACAUGUUACUAGCUCAUGGUAACUGCAGCCACUUUUCAGAAAGGCCCCAAAUCAUCUCAAAAGUACCGACAAGAGGAAGAGGUACUAACGUAUUCACUCCAGGCGACUUUAGGCGACACAUUAAUUCUGGAACAUGAAUAUAAAUAAAUAAUAAAUACAAUUGAAUUCAUCCCAAUCUAUCAUAGAACUUCUUUGACAACAUAAAAGUCAACAAAUAAAUCAGAAUAAUAGGAUUUUGACAAAACAAGACAUUUAUCUAUUCC
ensembl:lncRNA